CGUGGUAUCCUGUCUGAAUAUGGGGGGACCAUCCUCCAAGGCUAAAUACUCCUGACUGACCGAUAGUGAACCAGUACCGUGAGGGAAAGGCGAAAAGAACCCCGGCGAGGGGAGUGAAAAAGAACCUGAAACCGUGUACGUACAAGCAGUGGGAGCCUCUUUAUGGGGUGACUGCGUACCUUUUGUAUAAUGGGUCAGCGACUUAUAUUCUGUAGCAAGGUUAACCGAAUAGGGGAGCCGAAGGGAAACCGAGUCUUAACUGGGCGUUAAGUUGCAGGGUAUAGACCCGAAACCCGGUGAUCUAGCCAUGGGCAGGUUGAAGGUUGGGUAACACUAACUGGAGGACCGAACCGACUAAUGUUGAAAAAUUAGCGGAUGACUUGUGGCUGGGGGUGAAAGGCCAAUCAAACCGGGAGAUAGCUGGUUCUCCCCGAAAGCUAUUUAGGUAGCGCCUCGUGAAUUCAUCUCCGGGGGUAG
rnacentral:rRNA from 1 species